GACCCCGGGCUUCCUCCCGCGUUUGGGAGCGUCGGAGAGAAGCCGCCUGAGACUCGCAGGCCGCGCCCGGCCCAGAAACGGACAGAGAAAGCCGACAAGGCCGGGGGUGCCUCCCGCUCCGAGCUCCGGAACGCGCGCUGGGACCAUAUCAUUUGCCAGUGAACUUCUGUUGCUGCAAAAUUUUCUGCUAAAAUUCAAGUAAUCGAUAGAAAGAUCACAUGCCGUAGGAAUUGUUCUUGCCUUCUGAACCAAUGAAUAGAAAGUGGGAAGAAAAACUGAAGCAGAUUGAGGAGCGAGCAUCUCAUUACAAGAGGAAACCACUGUGCUCAGUGUAUAGACCAAGCCUGUCCAGGCCAGAGCAACCACCCUCCAUUUGGAAGCUAUUUCGUCGUCAAACUGAAGCUUUUAAUUUCGUCAAAAGCUGUAAACAGGAUGUUCAUGUAUUUGCUUUGGAAUACAAAAUGGGAGAUGGACAACGUAUUUAUCUUGUAACAACCUAUGCUCAGCUUUGGUUUUACUAUAAAUCCCGAAAAAAUCUCUUGCACUGCUAUGAAGUUAUUCCUGAAAAUGCUGUGUGCAAGCUUUAUUUUGAUUUGGAAUUUAACAAACCUGCCAAUCCAGGAGCUGACGGGAAAAAGAUGGUUGCAUUACUCAUUGAGCAUGUCUGUAGAGCACUUCAGGACUUAUAUAGUGUAAGGUGCUCAGCUGAAGAUGUUUUCAACUUGGAUUCUAGCACUGAUGAAAAAUUUAGCCGCCAUCUGAUAUUUCAGCUCCAUGAUGUGGCAUUUAAAGAUAACAUCCAUGUUGGUAAUUUUGUGAGAACAAUUUUGCAGCCUGCUCUUCAGUUAAUUGCCAGUGAAGAUGAUGAUAGCAUUUCAGAGACAGUGGACCAGGGAUUUUCCCACUUUUCUGAAGCACCAACAAAACAAGGGGCUUCAUAUAACAAAAUGUCCCCAGAUAAGGACACAGGAGAGAGCUGGACACUGAAUUCAGAGAAGCCGAGGCGGCUGGGAUCAGCGAAGCAAAGCGAUCCUGAUCUUUCAUUUUUAGUUGUGAAGAAUAAUGUGGGAGAAAAGCAUCUUUUUGUAGAUCUAGGAGUUUAUACAAGAAAUAGGAACUUCCGGCUGUAUAAGUCAUCAAAACUAGGAAAGCAUGUGGCUUUGGAGAUUGCUGAAGAUAACAAAUUCUUUCCUAAACAAUCAAAAACGAUUCCUGAAGAAAACCAGUAUUUCCUCUCUUCUUUUGUAUGCAAUGUCAGAUUCUCAGAUACUUUACGAAUUCUAACAUGUGACACACCUCAGAAUAAAAGAAAGCGAAUGAAGCACUUUAAUAGUACCAGCCCUUCAGUAGGAACCAUCGAAGGUUUUCAGUGUUCACCCUACCCUGAAGUCGAUCAGUUUGUUCUUUCCUUGGUGACUAAAAAUGACAUUAAAGGAGGAAUUAGGCGUUGGAGCUACUUUUUCCCAGAACAGUUGUUGGUUUAUGAUAUUUUCAAAUAUCGCUGGUGUGAGAACAUUGGAAGAGCCCACAAGAGUAAUAACAUCAUGAUUCUGGUUGAUCUGAAAAAUGAAGUUUGGUAUCAAAAAUGUCAUGAUCCUAUAUGUAAAGCAGAAAACUUCAAAACUGACUGUUUGCCAUUACCUGCUGAAGUGUGUCUUUUGUUUCUUUUCAAAGAGGCAGAGUUAGGGAGAGAGAGAGAAAGGUCUUUCUUCUGUUGGUUCACCCCCCAAAUGGCUGCCAUGACCAGCACGCUGCGCCGUGCCAAAGCCAGGAAGAAGAAUUUACAACAGACGAAACUAGGAACAAUGAAACCACGAGCCCUCAUAAACCGUCCCCUGGUGCAUCCUCUGACCCUGGCUGGGACAAUGGCAUGGAUGAUGCUUGCUUUUUAGAAGCCACUGAAGAUGCUGAAUUAGCAGAGGCUGCAGAGAGCAGUCUUCUGAGUCACAGUAGUGGAGUGGAUGAGAUUCCUGAUGACCUCAUUAUGGAAGUAUUACAAGAGUAGCCAACUGUGGACAUCACAUAAGCAGCCUGUAAUCUGCGAGAUUUGUAACAAAAAAUUAUAUUCAGUCUGUCAAAUGUUACUUGGAAAAUAAUGUAAGUAAAUCAAUUUUAUUGGAAAUUAA